rnacentral:lncRNA from 1 species
CCGAUCCUCCCCCGCGGCUCUGCGCGCGCACAGGCCGGACGCUCGGAGCCGGCGCCGGACCCCCCUGCUCGGCCUCCUGGGCGCACCAGCGGCCUCCGCGCAGGCUCCGUGCCCGCGCACGCGCCCUCGCGUCGCGCUCCUGGAGGAGAGACCUGCGCUCGGGCCGGGCUCCGGGCGGUUCUCGAGCUGCAGUUCCAACGGGACUUCCGCGCUUCGGCGGCCUUUCUGACGAGCCGCCGCGCCCAGAGAUGUUCAGGUUGGAGCGACACUUCCCAGAGGGCAGCGGUCACUCCAGAUCUUCGGCUUCCAUUCCGUGUUCGCGCGGUUCUCCCUCUUUGCAGGCUGCUUGGCUGCAAGAGGGAAGUAGGACAUUGAGCCCUAAAGGAAGAUUUCCAGCCAGGGGGCACCGAGGUAAAGUAAACCCUGAAUAGGAAUAGAUGCAUCGAAGGCCACUAGGGAGAUUCAGAUAAUGUGACUUGGUGUUUUUAUAAGGCAGUGAUGUCAUUCUGACUGCAGCCACCACUGUCGGGUUGUGAUUAAACUCUGAUCACCUAUGAGAGCACCGUGAUGCUCUAGAUUCUCUUUGUUCUUUCCCAGUAGAGGAAUCCCAAGGAGGACUGAUCUGUUUUGGCAGGUGCAAAACCAUGGAGUGAAAUCAUACAGUAUUUCUUUCUCCGUCUGACUUGUUUUGCUCAAGAUCCAUCCAUCUUGUCUCACAUGGGAUGAAACAAAGAGAAUCUAGAGCUGGGAAAGGAAAAAGAGACCAUGAGAGCAAGCAUAAUUUAGGGUUACCAUGAGAGGAAGUAACAUUUGGCUCCUCCAUUCCAUUUUGCAUAAUACCUCUAACUGUACAAACAAAACAAUAUGAAAAAAUUAGAAGGACUGUAGAUAAACCCAAACUCUUCCCCUAAUGCCCAGGAAACCCAAACACUUCAGCAGACAGUUUUCUGGCCUGUCCUCCACUUUGGGGAAGCUGCUCUGCACCUGAGACUAGGCUGCUCAGCCCUGCCCUGAACAGGUCCUCCUCCCUCCAUUCACACCUUCCAGGACUGAAAAGGAGCCACGCCAUCCAGCCACACCUUACCUCAUGGCCUUGGGGUCCCGUGAGGUUGAAGAGGUUAGAAAAGACAUAGAACUGGUCAGGAAGUAUUCAGUAUUCCAAUUCCAGAAAAACUGACUGUGAUUAAACACAUUACGACAUAUUCACGUAAUAAACGUGAAGUCAGGAAAAAUAUUGUGAACGUGGAAAGCAUUCCAGAAACACUGUCAGUAGAAAAAUCAGGUUAUAAAACUAUAGGUACAAUAUGAUACCAUUUGAAGAACAUAUGUGUAUCUCAAUAUCAAAC